rnacentral:rRNA from 1 species
UACGGAGGGUGCGAGCGUUGUCCGGAAUCAUUGGGCGUAAAGGGCGCGUAGGUGGCACGACAAGCGUGCGGUGAAAGCUUGGGGCUCAACCCCGAGUCGGCCGUGCGAACUGUUGAGCUGGAGCACUGUAGAGGCAGGCGGAAUUCCGGGUGUAGCGGUGGAAUGCGUAGAGAUCCGGAAGAACACCGGUGGCGAAGGCGGCCUGCUGGGCAGUAGCUGACACUGAGGCGCGACAGCGUGGGGAGCAAACAGG